rnacentral:rRNA from 1 species
GAUGAACGCUGGCGGCGUGCCUAAUACAUGCAAGUCGAGCGAACGGACGAGAAGCUUGCUUCUCUGAUGUUAGCGGCGGACGGGUGAUUAACACGUGGAUAACCUACCUAUAAGACUGGGAUAACUUCGUGAAACCGGAGCUAAUACCGGAUAAUAUUUUGAACCGCAUGGUUCAAAAGUGAAAGACGGUCUUGCUGUCACUUAUAGAUGGAUCAGCGCUGCAUUAGCUAGUUGGUAAGGUAACGGCUUAACAAGGCAACGAUGCAUAGCCGACCUGAGAGGGUGAACCGCAACACGGAGAAGGAGGCAGGGACCGGACUCCGACGGGGGGCAGCAGUAGGGAAUCUUCCGGAAUGGGCGGAAGCCUGACGUAGCAACGCCGCGUGAGUCAUGAAGGUGCUCGGAUCGUUAAACUCUGUUAUUAUGGAAGAACAGAUGUGUAAGUAACUGUGCACGUCUUGACAGUACCUAAUCAGGAAGCCACGGCUAACUACGUG